rnacentral:misc_RNA from 1 species
UUAAGUUCAGCGGGUAGUCUUACUUGAUUUGAGAUCGAGUUUUACAAAAAUCGUUUUACCGACCCUUGUGAAAUCCUGCAUCAGUCAGCCAAAAUGGUCAAACUCCCUUUAUGUUAGCUGCAGCAAAAGUAAUAAUCCGUUUGACGGGACUAAAUAGAUAUGCUUUUAGCUCAGGAGAAUGUCCAGCUGCACCUGCAUUU